rnacentral:tRNA from 1 species
GGAGGCGCUCGGUGGUAGAGUGUAUGCUUAGCAUGCAGGAGGUCCUGGGUUCGAUCCCCAGUACCUCCA